rnacentral:tRNA from 1 species
UAGGGCGUGGUCCAAACUCUUUUGGUACCGUCAUACGCAGGUUCGAAUCCUGCCGCCCCAGCCA